CCUACGGGGGGCAGCAGUGAGGAAUAUUGGUCAAUGGGCGCGAGCCUGAACCAGCCAAGUCGCGUGAGGGAAGACGGUCCUAUGGAUUGUAAACCUCUUUUGUCGGGGAGCAAAAGACGCCACGCGUGGCGUUCCGAGAGUACCCGAAGAAAAAGCAUCGGCUAACUCCGUGCCAGCAGCCGCGGUAAUACGGAGGAUGCGAGCGUUAUCCGGAUUUAUUGGGUUAAAAGGGUGCGCAGGCGGAAGAUCAAGUCAGUGGUAAAAUUGAGAGGCUCAACCUCGUCGAGCCGUUGAAACUGGUGGCCUUGAGUGGGCGAGAAGAAGGCGGAAUGCGUGGUGUAGCGGUGAAAUGCAUAGAUAUCACGCAGAACCACGAUUGCGAAGGCAGCCUUCCGGCGCCCUACUGACGCUGAGGCACGAAAGUGCGGGGAUCGAACAGGAUUAGAUACCCGGGUAGUC
rnacentral:rRNA from 1 species